ACAGUACAAACUGAGCAGGCCAGGAGUUGACAAUCCUGUGUGCCGGGUCACGUAGGUGACAAUGGAUGAGUAUAUUUAUCCAUGGGACAGU
rnacentral:ncRNA from 1 species